GCUGGGCAUGGUGGCGCACGCCUGUAGUCCCAGCUACGUGGGAGGCAGAGACAGGAGAAUUGCUUGAACCCAGAAGGCAGAGGUUUCAGUGAGCCGAGAUCAUGCCACUGCACUCCAGCCUGGGUGACAGAGCAAGACUCUGUCUCAA
rnacentral:SRP_RNA from 1 species